rnacentral:lncRNA from 1 species
UCAACAACAAGGACUUAAUCUGCUUUAUUUACCUCUAUGGAUUAAAUAAGCCAAGCCAACAAUUGUCUGACUGCUUGUCUUCCAUCCAACCAAGUAUCUUUCCUUCCUUCUUUAUUGCCUUCCAAGACAACAAGAACAAAUUCAAUCUCUCGAUCAUGUCUUGCUUUUUUCACCAUUCAAUUCAUAUUGAAAAUGGUGUAGCCUAUCGACAAAGGUAUAUGAUCCGACCAAUCGUCGUGGAUAAAGAGAGAGCAAAGCUAUUGAUACAGUCCUAU